AUACGGAGGGUGCAAGCGUUGUUCGGAAUUACUGGGCGUAAAGCGCGCGUAGGCGGUUUGUUAUGUCAGAUGUGAAAGUCCACGGCUCAACCGUGGAAGUGCAUUUGAAACUGGCAAACUUGAGUACUGGAGGGGGUGGUGGAAUUCCCGGUGUAGAGGUGAAAUUCGUAGAUAUCAGGAGGAAUACCGGUGGCGAAGGCGACCACCUGGCCAGAUACUGACGCUGAGGUGCGAAAGCGUGGGGAGCAAACAGGAUUAGAUACCCUAGUAGUCC
rnacentral:rRNA from 1 species